GACGAACGCUGGCGGCGUGCCUAAUGCAUGCAAGUCGAGCGACGAAUAGGUGCGGGUAACCAAACCUAUUACGGAGCGGCGAACGGGUGAGUAACACGUGAGCAACCUGCCCCGCAGAUCGGGAUAGCCCAGGGAAACUUGGAUUAAUACCGGAUAUUCUCCUUUAACCACAUGAUUGUUGGAGGAAAUGCUUUUGCGCUACGGGAUGGGCUCACGGCCUAUCAGCUUGUUGGGGGGUAACGGCCUACCAAGGCGACGACGGGUAGCCGGCCUGAGAGGGCGACCGGCCACACUGGGACUGAGACACGGCCCAGACUCCUACGGGAGGGCAGCAGUGGGGAAUCUUGCGCAAUGGGCGAAAGCCUGACGCAGCGACGCCGCGUGAGGGAUGACGGCCU
rnacentral:rRNA from 1 species